AGUGAACGCUGGCGGUAGGCCUAACACAUGCAAGUCGAACGGCAGCACAGUAAGAGCUUGCUCUUACGGGUGGCGAGUGGCGGACGGGUGAGGAAUACAUCGGAAUCUACUUUUUCGUGGGGGAUAACGUAGGGAAACUUACGCUAAUACCGCAUACGACCUACGGGUGAAAGCAGGGGAUCUUCGGACCUUGCGCGAUUGAAUGAGCCGAUGUCGGAUUAGCUAGUUGGCGGGGUAAAGGCCCACCAAGGCGACGAUCCGUAGCUGGUCUGAGAGGAUGAUCAGCCACACUGCAACUGAGACACGGUCCAGACUCCUACGGGAGGCAGCAGUGGGGAAUAUUGGACAAUGGGCGCAAGCCUGAUCCAGCCAUGCCGCGUGGGUGAAGAAGGCCUUCGGGUUGUAAAGCCCUUUUGUUGGGAAAGAAAAGCAGCAGGUUAAUACCCCGCUGUUCUGACGGUACCCAAAGAAUAAGCACCGGCUAACUUCGUG
rnacentral:rRNA from 1 species